rnacentral:rRNA from 1 species
GACGAACGCUGGCGGCGUGCUUAACACAUGCAAGUCGAACGGAAAGGCCCUGCUUUUGUGGGGUGCUCGAGUGGCGAACGGGUGAGUAACACGUGAGUAACCUGCCCUUGACUUUGGGAUAACUUCAGGAAACUGGGGCUAAUACCGGAUAGGAGCUCCUGCUGCAUGGUGGGGGUUGGAAAGUUCCGGCGGUUGGGGAUGGACUCGCGGCUUAUCAGCUUGUUGGUGGGGUAGUGGCUUACCAAGGCUUUGACGGGUAGCCGGCCUGAGAGGGUGACCGGCCACAUUGGGACUGAGAUACGGCCCAGACUCCUACGGGAGGCAGCAGUGGGGAAUAUUGCACAAUGGGCGGAAGCCUGAUGCAGCAACGCCGCGUGCGGGAUGACGGCCUUCGGGUUGUAAACCGCUUUCGCCUGUGACGAAGCGUGAGUGACGGUAAUGGGUAAAGAAGCACCGGCUAACUACGUGCCAGCAGCCGCGGUGAUACGUAGGGUGCGAGCGUUGUCCGGAUUUAUUGGGCGUAAAGGGCUCGUAGGUGGUUGAUCGCGUCGGAAGUGUAAUCUUGGGGCUUAACCCUGAGCGUGCUUUCGAUACGGGUUGACUUGAGGAAGGUAGGGGAGAAUGGAAUUCCUGGUGGAGCGGUGGAAUGCGCAGAUAUCAGGAGGAACACCAGUGGCGAAGGCGGUUCUCUGGGCCUUUCCUGACGCUGAGGAGCGAAAGCGUGGGGAGCGAACAGGCUUAGAUACCCUGGUAGUCCACGCUGUAAACGGUGGGUACUAGGUGUGGGGUCCAUUCCACGGGUUCCGUGCCGUAGCUAACGCUUUAAGUACCCCGCCUGGGGAGUACGGCCGCAAGGCUAAAACUCAAAGGAAUUGACGGGGCCCCGCACAAGCGGCGGAGCAUGCGGAUUAAUUCGAUGCAACGCGUAGAACCUUACCUGGGUUUGACAUGGAUCGGGAGUGCUCAGAGAUGGGUGUGCCUCUUUUGGGGUCGGUUCACAGGUGGUGCAUGCCUGUCGUCAGCUCGUGUCGUGAGAUGUUGGGUUAAGUCCCGCAACGAGCGCAACCCUUGUUCACUGUUGCCAGCACGUUAUGGUGGGGACUCAGUGGAGACCGCCGGGGUCAACUCGGAGGAAGGUGGGGAUGACGUCAAGUCAUCAUGCCCCUUAUGUCCAGGGCUUCACGCAUGCUACAAUGGCUGGUACAGAGAGUGGCGAGCCUGUGAGGGUGAGCGAAUCUCGGAAAGCCGGUCUCAGUUCGGAUUGGGGUCUGCAACUCGACCUCAUGAAGUCGGAGUCGCUAGUAAUCGCAGAUCAGCAACGCUGCGGUGAAUACGUUCCCGGGGCU